rnacentral:rRNA from 1 species
GAUGAACGCUGGCGGCGUGCCUAAUACAUGCAAGUCGAGCGAACAGACGAGGAGCUUGCUCCUCUGACGUUAGCGGCGGACGGGUGAGUAACACGUGGAUAACCUACCUAUAAGACUGGGAUAACUUCGGGAAACCGGAGCUAAUACCGGAUAAUAUAUUGAACCGCAUGGUUCAAUAGUGAAAGACGGUUUUGCUGUCACUUAUAGAUGGAUCCGCGCCGCAUUAGCUAGUUGGUAAGGUAACGGCUUACCAAGGCAACGAUGCGUAGCCGACCUGAGAGGAAGAGCAGACACAAGGGAACGGAGAAAAGGUAGAGACUCAGACGGGCGGCAGCAGUGGGGAAUAUGGGACUAUGGGAGAAAGCCGGAGCCAGACAGACAGCGUGGGUGAAGAAGGUCUUCGGGUGGUAAAGACCUUGUGUGGGGAAAGAAAAGAAGCAGGUGAAAAACACGAUGUGAUGAAGGUACCUAAAGAAAAAGAAACGGCGAACUUCGUG